rnacentral:lncRNA from 1 species
UGCUGCCUGCUUGGUUUUCUGUCACACACAGUUUAGUCUGAGUAAUAUCCAUAGAAACGGGAUAUCCUAUAUGCCCAGCUAAUAUAGAACAAACAGUGAGCUUUAUAGAAUCACAGAAUAAUCUGGGCUGGAAGAGACAUGACAUCUCUACUUCACUGUCUGCUCAAAAUGGGUCCAUUUUCAAAGACGUGUGGUUGAUCUGGGCCUUCUCCAGUCAACUCUUGAUCACCUCCGGAGAAGAACAUUUCCCAGGCUCUUAGGAAAGCCUUGUCAGGGCUCUUAGUGCACUAGCAGACUUUAAAGGCCUGACCAGCCUCACCUGGUCCCCCACCAAUAUCCCCUGACCCAGGACCCCAUUUCAGCCAGACCAGGGCCAUCGGUCCCUACACUAGCAGCACCAUAAGGGUGCUGGUCUCCAGCCCCACCACAGCUUUCCCUUUUCCACAGCCAUGGAAAUGCGUGAUCUGGACUCUGACCUGGAGGCUGACUCCCUAGCCUGACCUUGGACCUGCCUCGUCACUGUGGACCUACCCAGAGAUCACUGACUCUUGAUACUUUCACCGACCUGAUCCUUACCUUGCUCAACCAGGCAGAGGAUGUCAGCCCAAUCCAAAAUUCUCAGAACCUCUUUAACACUCUUGGACCUCAUUAGACCACCAAGGUAUUCCUCAAGACAGAGGAGGGCCCUAAACUGCAACCACUGAGUGCCUGCAUUCGGUUAGAAAUGCGUGAGAAGCACCACCAACCUCAGUGCUCCCACGUACAACGCAUAGCUGAAGCAACCCCCUGAAGACACUUGGCUAAGAUAAGAAUGUAAGCUAACCACACGUACACAUAUAACCUUGUCUUCCUCUUCCAUGCAUGCGCUGAGCCCGGUGAAUACACCCAUACAGAAUGCACUGCACUUAUGUGUGGAAUUUUCUGAGGGUCAAAACUCGGUCAAAUCAAAAUCAGAUUCCACUGAAGCACUCAAAGGCAUUUUUCAGCUAGAUAUUUUUAUGCUAACUAUAAACUUUUUAACCCCCUGCUGGUUUGGCUGUUGUGCUGUUCAGAAAGAAAUAGCAAAUACUCAUGCUGAAGUGGGAAUACUGUCUACAUGCUUUUUUGUGAAAAAAUGGCUGAACCAUUUUUAUUUAGUGGGGGAAAAAAAAGCUCCAAAGAAACAGACAAUCCUACUUCACCUUCAGGUAUCCCCUCCUCCCUUUACACUGCUGACGUGUAUACUCCUGAUGCAGAUGGAGACCAGUUUUGUUAACAAAGAUGGUGACUACAGACAAUAUGAUUCAGGUCUUAAAUGAAAUGGAACAGCUAGUCUAGCAUAAACCACAUUUCAAAACAGGGAUAUGAGGGUUUUGGAAUGAAUCUUCUUUCAAGAAAACAGGAUUGUGAAAAAGCUCUCACCGAGACAAUUCAGCUGAGCACCCAUACAUAUUUUUGUCAGUGUCUAGAACAGGUAAAUGAAACUACUGGAAUUUGGCUUCUAAGUACAGAUUUCUCAGAAAUGUUUCCUAUAAUGAAUACACCAAGAGACAAAUGUAUCAUCACAGAGGGAUGAUAGAUGAAAAAUCAGUGAUACCAGCUCAAAUCAGUAAUAGCAGACUACUAAGCCAGAGAUGCCCACCAGCCCAUUCCUAGUAGUAUCAGCUCCCUGUGUCUGUACAGAGCUGUUGUAUCAUCCUGCGUCCUGGGAGACAUCUGACUGCUUUUCAGUUCUCACAGAUCAAGGAGCUGCACUUCCUUGCGUUCUCCUCACCAGCUCCUUGCUGUGGGAAACAUAUAUUUCCAGCUUGGCAAGGAUGUGUGUUUCAAACUGCCAGCUUUAGCUGAACCAUGGUUAUUCAUUGGAUCCUGACUGCCAGGUUUAAACAUUCCCAUACUUGAGAAAAAAAAAUGCAGCCCAUUGUCCCCAAAUGUUUCAGGACAAUUUCAAACUAAAUUUCCCGUAAGCAAGAACACAGAAUUUGGGUACCUCAGAUGUUACAUUCCUUUGCCCUUGCUGUCAAAUAUUAGAAAAAUUUUGCAGUCUGAGAUUAAUUUUCAAAUUUCUCAGAAAUAUAUUUACAGGUAGCUGAGUGACUAAACAGGACUGUAGGGCAAGGAGAACAACUGUUCUCAAGGACAGUAAUGUUAGACCUGUAAGAAGUUAAAACUGAACUUUCUCACUGACCAUUCACUCCAUAGCUACACAGCUCCCAUGUGGUCAAGACACAAAAGACAUCUCUUUUCUCCUGCUCGCCUACAACAAGAAAAAAUAUUGCAGAUAAAUAAGAGCAAUAACAGUAACAGAAAUAGCAAUGG